AUCGCUUCUCGGCCUUUUGGCUAAGAUCAAGUGUAGAAGUUCUGUCCUUUUUACAUCAGCCAAUCAAGGUUACAGCAAAAUUACAUUACCCAUGAUGGGGGAGAACAGUUGUCCUAUUCUUUUUCUGGACCUUCUUUCAUUCAGUCAAGAAACACUUAC
ensembl:snRNA U2 U2 spliceosomal RNA